rnacentral:rRNA from 1 species
AUUCCAGCUCCAAUAGCGUAUAUUAAAGUUGUUGCGGUUAAAAAGCUCGUAGUUGGAUCUCUGCAUGGAAGGAGCGGUCCACCCUUUGGGUGAGUUACUGCUACCUUUUGUGCAUCUUCCUGAGAAGGCGUUCUUCACUUCAUUGUGAGGCCGCAUGACUCAGGACGUUUACUUUGAGGAAAUGAGAGUGUUUCAAGCAGGCAAAUGCCUUGAAUACGUUAGCAUGGAAUAAUAGCAUCGGACCAUCGUCCAGCUGUUGGUGUCUGGGCGAAGGUAAAGGUGAAUAGGGAUUGUUGGGGGCAUUCGUAUUUAACUGUCAGAGGUGAAAUUCUUGGAUUUGUUGAAGACGGACUACUGCGAAAGCAUCUGCCAAAGAUGUUCUCAUUG